rnacentral:pre_miRNA from 1 species
AUUUCAGGUGAUGUAGUUGAGAAGUAGCUGUAAAGCUCAGGAGGGAUAGCGCCAUGUCUCACCGGUACUAUAAAAUGUUUGUAUAUCUAUAUUGGCGCUAUCCAUCCUGAGUUCUAUGGCUUCUUCUUGCUUUUAUCCUGAGAU